CCGUGUGGCACGCUACCCGCCGCGCGCGCAUCCUGUCCCCCGCCCUCGGAAUCCCAGCACGGGGGCCGAGCCCCGAGCUACAUUCCUCCUCCUCCUUCUUCGCCACCCAAAGACUCACGCAUACACACAUUUUUCUUUCGUAUCUGCUGUCUCAGCCUCCCUCGGGCCAAUUUGGGUAAAUGCGUCCAAGAGGAAGAAAUAAAAAUGAAAAGACUGACAGUUUAAAAGCAUGUGGAGGGCUUAGAAGAUAAAGACGAGUGCAAGAAAGGGAGAGCGCGGCCGGCCGCGGUGUCUCACGCCUGUCAUCCUAGCACUUUGGGAGGCCGAAGAGAUCGGAUCACUUGAGGUCCGGAGUUCAAAUCCAGCCUGGCCAACAUGGUGAAACCCCGUCUCUACUAAAAAUACAAAAAAAUUAGCCGGACCUGGUGGCGGGCGUCUGUAAUGCCAGCUACUCGGGAGGCUGAGGCGGGAGAAUCGCUUGAACCCGGGAGGCGGAGGUUGCAGUGAGCCGAGAUCGCGCCACUGCAUUCCAGCCUGGGCAACAGACUGAGACCCUGCCUCAAAAGAAAAAAAGAAAAAAAAAAAAGGAGAGCGCGUACUGUUGCGGAAGGGGCACUGCUCGAGAAACAGAGACGAAGGGAUGAUUUUCAAGUAAUCAAGACACCGAGAAAGACAAGAUUGGGGAUGGAAGAGCAACAGAGUAUCGAGCUGUCGCCCAGGCUGGAGUGCAAUGGCAUGAUCUUGGCUCACUGCAACCUCUGCCUCCCGCGUUCUAAGUGAUUCUCCUUCCUCAGCCUCCCGAAUAGCUGGGAUUAUAGGCACGCACCAUCAUGCAUGGCUAAUUUUGUAUUUUUAGUAGAGAUGGGGUUUCCCCAUGUUGGCCAGGCUGGUCUCGAACUCCUGAUCUCAGGUUAUCCACCCGCCUCAGCCUCUCCAAGUGCUGGGAUUACAAGUGUGAGCCACCGCACCCCGCCCUAAUCUCAGCCUUUUUAUAUCUUCUUGGUAGGCCCACUUUUUGGCAUCCCCUAACAAGAAGUCCUCAGAGAUUUUUACUACUCAACAUGUGUGCGUCCCACUCAGAUGUAUUGUGUUCUUUCUGUUCACCCUCUACUUCCCAUUCCAUUUCUUCCUCUGACUUAGGGUUAGAAUGGCCCAAUGAUCCUACAACUUUUUGAUGCUAUUUCAUUUGAUUCCUCUACUGUCUAAAUCACAAGUUGGCUAACUUUACUUACUGUAAGGGAUCAGAUAGCAAAUAGUUUAGGCCUUGUGGGCCAUUCAAUCUGUCAUAACUACCCACUCUGACCAUAUGUAGUGCAAAAGCAGCCCUUGACAAUAUAUAAAUGAAUGAACGUGAAUGUAUUUCAAUAAAGCUUUACUUGUGGACACUGAAAUUUGAAUUUUAUAUCAUUUUCACAAGCCACAAAAUAAUUAUUUUGAUUCCCCCCCACCCUCAAUCAUUUAAAAAUGCAAAAAUCAUUCUUAGUUUAUGUGUGGUGAUAGACAGGUGUUGGGCUUGAUUUGGACCCAGUGCCAUAGUUUCAGACCCCUGGUUUAACUGAACUGAAAGGUAAUCAGCUCUGCAAAGCCAUUAUUACUGAAGGAGACUCCCCCUUUUUUCCCUUUGACGUUUCUUCUUUGCAGACAGAACACUGAUAAGUAGCAAGAGCUUUCCUUCCCUUAUCCAGCCUCCCUGCCUGGCAUCCUCAACUUCCUUUCACCUUCUCUCUAGAGCCUAAGAAUAGAAUCUUUACUAAACUCGCGGGGGAGAAUGUCUCCCUUUUCCUACAACCCUUGAACAGCCACUUAUCGUCAGUCUCCAGAUGUCUUGCACCCAGGACACAUGCUUCCUGUUUAUGACAAGCUGCCUAAGAAGGGGCAAGAACAGGCUCCAUUUCUAGGCGUAAAAGGGUAGGAUAGACGUGGAUGGAGAAAGAGUGGCUAUCCCGGA
rnacentral:lncRNA from 10 species